rnacentral:rRNA from 1 species
UGGGGAAUAUUGGACAAUGGGCGCAAGCCUGACCCAGCAAUGCCGCGUGUGUGAAGAAGGCCUUCGGGUUGUAAAGCACUUUUAUCAGGAGCGAAACUCUGUCGGCUAAUACCCGGCGGAACUGACGGUACCUGAGGAAUAAGCACCGGCUAACUUCGUGCCAGCAGCCGCGGUAAUACGAAGGGUGCAAGCGUUAAUCGGAAUUACUGGGCGUAAAGCGUGCGUAGGCGGUUUCUUAAGUCUGCUGUGAAAUCCCCGGGCUCAACCUGGGAAUGGCAGUGGAUACUGGGAGGCUAGAGUGUGUCAGAGGGUGGUGGAAUUCCCGGUGUAGCGGUGAAAUGCGUAGAGAUCGGGAGGAACAUCAGUGGCGAAGGCGGCCACCUGGGACAACACUGACGCUGAGGCACGAAAGCGUGGGGAGCAAACAGGAUUAGAUACCCUGGUAGUCCACGCCCUAAACGAUGCGAACUGGAUGUUGGUCUCAACUCGGAGAUCAGUGUCGAAGCUAACGCGUUAAGUUCGCCGCCUGGGGAGUACGGUCGCAAGACUGAAACUCAAAUGAAUUGAC